GAGUUUGAUCGUGGCUCAGAUUGAACGCUGGCGGCAGGCUUAACACAUGCAAGUCGAGCGGGGGAGAUUGCUUCGGUAAUUGACCUAGCGGCGGACGGGUGAGUAAUACUUAGGAAUCUGCCUAUUAAUGGGGGACAACAUCUCGAAAGGGAUGCUAAUACCGCAUACGCCCUACGGGGAAAGCAGGGGAUCACUUGUGACCUUGCGUUAAUAGAUGAGCCUAAGUCGGAUUAGCUAGUUGGUGGGGUAAAGGCCUACCAAGGCGACGAUCUGUAGCGGGUCUGAGAGGAUGAUCCGCCACACUGGGACUGAGACACGGCCCAGACUCCUACGGGAGGCAGCAGUGGGGAAUAUUGGACAAUGGGGGGAACCCGUGAUCCAGCCAUGCCGCGUGUGUGAAGAAGGCCUUAUGGUUGUAAAAGCACUUUAAGCGAGGAGGAGGCUCCUGUAGUUAAUACCUACAGAGAGUGGACGUUACUCGCAGAAUAAGCACCGGCUAACUCUGUGCCAGCCG
rnacentral:rRNA from 1 species